AUUCAAGGGAAAAUGCAAGGUUUGGGCCCUCAGCUGAUAUUUGCAGCACCCUUUCCAUGAAGGAUCUCUGACCAGCCACUGAUGCUCAUAGUCAUCGGCCUUGACUCUGCAGUACUGGGAAUGCUGACAUGAACAAGCAGGAAGAAGUGCAGCUACAAACAUUUGAAAUGUUUAAAAGAAGGCUGUGAUUCAGCAUGCUCCUGCUCAUGGACUUGAUUCACGUUUUGUUGGAUGCUGACUACUGAGGCUUUCAACCUCCUCUCUGUUGGAGAUAGGAAAAGCGGACAGAAGCCAUAUGGACAGAUUCCGAGGAGAGGGUAAAGGGACCAGGAUAAGCCCACACAGAUCUUUCCCAAAGGACAAGUGAUAUGAAACUGAAGGAAUUAACACCCAUUCCCUUCUGUGGACAGUGAAUGCACAGAUCUGACCUUCAGUUAAAGCAGCAUGACCUGUUAUGAAGUUAUGACCAUAAAGUUCUUAUUGUGAAUAAACAUAGACCACUUGGCCCUGUAGAAGAAAAAUGCUAAUACUUUAAUGACGCUGAUUCAAAAGCUAUUUGUCAGGAAGAAAUCAGUUUACAGUGGCAAAAAGGAGGAAGUUUACAGAUUGCCGGACUACUGUUCUGCCAGAGUCUUACUCAUAUUGUAUGUGAUGACUAAUUCCAGGCCCUAA